GGGGGUUUAGCUCAGAUGGUAGAGCGUCCGCUUUGCAUGCGGAAGGUAUGGGGAUCGAUGCCCCAAAUCUCCA